rnacentral:rRNA from 1 species
UACGGAGGGGGCUAGCGUUGUUCGGAAUUACUGGGCGUAAAGCGCACGUAGGCGGCUUUGUAAGUUAGAGGUGAAAGCCCAGGGCUUAACCCUGGAAUUGCCUUUAAGACUGCAUCGCUAGAAUCGUGGAGAGGUGAGUGGAAUUCCGAGUGUAGAGGUGAAAUUCGUAGAUAUUCGGAAGAACACCAGUGGCGAAGGCGAGUCACUGGACACGUAUUGACGCUGAGGUGCGAAGGCGUGGGGAGCAAACGGG